UACGAAGGGGGCUAGCGUUGUUCGGAAUUACUGGGCGUAAAGCGCGCGUAGGCGGCCUUGCAAGUCAGGGGUGAAAGGCCUGGGCUUAACCCGGGAUCUGCCUUUGAGACUGCGAGGCUUGAGAGUGGGAGAGGAUGGUGGAAUUCCCAGUGUAGAGGUGAAAUUCGUAGAUAUUGGGAAGAACACCGGUUGCGAAGGCGGCCAUCUGGCCCACCACUGACGCUGGAGCGCGAAAGCGUGGGGAGCAAACAGG
rnacentral:rRNA from 1 species